GGUGAACGCCGGUGCGGGAGGGGGGGGAAUACGGGGGGGGGAAGCGUUAUGCGGAGUUGCUGUGUUUAAAGGGUGCGCAGGAGGAUAUAUAGGUCAGUGGUGAAAGCUUUCGGCUCAACCGGAAAAUGGCCGUUGAUACUAGAUAUGUUGAAUACUGUGGAGGUUUGCGGAAUAGGUCAUGUAGCGGUGAAAUGCAUAGAUAUGACCUGGAACACCUAUUGCGAAGGCAGCAGGCUACGCAGUUAUUGACGCUCAUGCACGAAAGCGUGGGUAGCGAACAGGAUUAGAUACCCGUGAGUC
rnacentral:rRNA from 1 species